GACGAACGCUGGCGGCGUGCUUAACACAUGCAAGUCGAACGGAGUGGCGAACGGGUGAGUAACACGUGAGUAACUGCCCCCUUCUUCUGGAUAACUGCCUGAAAGGGUAGCUAAUACGGGAUAGUGGGGGAUGGCUCGCGGCCUAUCAGCUUGUUGGUGGGGUGAGGUCCUACCAAGGCGGUGACGGGUAGCCGGCCUGGGAGGGCGACCGGCGACAUUGGGCUGAGAUACGGCCCGAACUCCUACGGGAGGCAGCAGUGGGGAAUAUUGCACAAUGGGGGAAACCCUGAUGCAGCAACGCGCGUGCGGGAUGACGGCCUUCGGGUUGGAAACCGCUUUCAGCCAUGACGCGGUAGUGGCAGAAGAAGCACCGGCUAACUACGUGCCAGCAGCCGCGGUAAUAC
rnacentral:rRNA from 1 species